UCCAAUGGGCGGGCCUUGGUGGGGGAGCCGCAAGGCUCGCCGGUUCGUUGGAACGCCGGUCUGCUAACCCUACUUCGUGCCCGCUCACCCAC
rfam:Burkholderia sp. ST111 contig_1, whole genome shotgun sequence.